UAGGGAAUCUUCCGCAAUGGACGCAAGUCUGACGGAGCAACGCCGCGUGAGUGAAGAAGGAUUUCGGUUCGUAAAACUCUGUUGUUAGAGAAGAACAGCGCAUAGAGUAACUGUUAUGCGUGUGACGGUAUCUAACCAGAAAGACACGGCUAACUACGUGCCAGCAGCCGCGGUAAUACGUAGGUGGCAAGCGUUGUCCGGAUUUAUUGGGCGUAAAGCGAGCGCAGGCGGUCAAUUAAGUCUGAUGUGAAAGCCCCCGGCGCAACCGGGGAGGGUCAUUGGAAACUUGUUGACUUGAGUGCAGAAGAGGAGAGUGGAAUUCCAUGUGUAGCGGUGAAAUGCGUAGAUAUAUGGAGGAACACCAGUGGCGAAGGCGACUCUCUGGUCUGUAACUGACGCUGAGGCUCGAAAGCGUGGGUAGCAAACAGG
rnacentral:rRNA from 1 species